rnacentral:rRNA from 1 species
AACGAACGCUGGCGGCAUGCCUAACACAUGCAAGUCGAACGAGAUCUUCGGGUCUAGUGGCGCACGGGUGCGUAACGCGUGGGAAUCUGCCCUUUGGUUCGGAAUAACAGUUGGAAACGACUGCUAAUACCGGAUGAUGACGAAAGUCCAAAGAUUUAUCGCCAGAGGAUGAGCCCGCGUAGGAUUAGCUAGUUGGUGUGGUAAAGGCGCACCAAGGCGACGAUCCUUAGCUGGUCUGAGAGGAUGAUCAGCCACACUGGGACUGAGACACGGCCCAGACUCCUACGGGAGGCAGCAGGGGGGAAUAUUGGACAAUGGGCGAAAGCCUGAUCCAGCAAUGCCGCGUGAGUGAUGAAGGCCUUAGGGUUGUAAAGCUCUUUUCCCCGGGAUGAUAAUGACAGUACCGGGAGAAUAAGCUCCGGCUAACUCCGUGCCAGCAGCCGCGGUAA